UUUCAGUUUUAGACCAGAAAAGUGAACUCACUUCACUUCACACAGUCAAAAACCAAGUCAUACGCCGCCUAAGAGCUGUUUAGGGGGUUAAGACUGAUCAGUCCUCACAAGUAUACAAGAACUUGUGUGUGUGUGCAUUAGUAAUCAUAUAUUUGUGAGGACCAGUUUCAGUUUUAAACCAGAAAAGUGAACUCACUUCACUUUUCCAUGUAAAAAACCAAGUCAUACGCCUCAAAAAGCCCUCUUCAAAGGGGUUAAGACUGAUCAGUCCUCACAAGUAUACAAGAACUUGUGUGUGUGUGCAUUAGUAAUCAUAUAUUUGUGAGGACCAUUUCAGUUUUAGACCAGAAAAGUGAACUCACUUCACUUUUCCAUGUAAAAAACCAAGUCAUACGCCUCAAACUACCCUCUUCAAAGGGGUUAAGACUGAUCAGUCCUCACAAGUAUACAAGAACUUGUGUGUGUGUGCAUUAGUAAUCAUAUAUUUGUGAGGACCAGUAUCAGUUUUAGACCAGAAAAGUGAACUCAGUUCACUUCACACAGUCAAAAACCAAGUCAUACGCCGCCUAAGAGCUGUUUAGGGGGUUAAGACUGAUCAGUCCUCACAAGUAUACAAGAACUUGUGUGUGUGCGCAUUAGUAAUCAUAUAUUUGUGAAGACCAGUUUCAGUUUUAGACAGGAAAAGUGAACUCAGUUCACUUCAC